rnacentral:rRNA from 1 species
UACGUAGGGGGAAAGCGUUGUCCGGAUUCAUUGGGCGUAAAGAGCGUGUAGGCGGCCAGGUAGGUCGGUUGUGAAAACUGGAGGCUCAACCUUCAGACGUCGACCGAAACCAUCUGGCUAGAGUCCGGGAGAGGAGAGUGGAAUUCCUGGUGUAGCGGUGGAAUGCGCAGAUAUCAGGAGGAACACCGAUGGCGAAGGCAGGUCUCUGGGCCUGCACUGACGCUCAUGCACGAAAGCGUGGGGAGCAAACAGG